rnacentral:lncRNA from 1 species
AAAACAUGAAAAAGAAAAAAAACAUGAAAAAGAAAAAAAACAUGAAAAAGAAAAAAGACGUGAGGAAGAAAAAAAACAUGAAAAAGAAAAAAGACGUGAGAAAGAAAAAAAACAUAUAAAAAAUAAUUACAAACAUUAUGAUACAACAAUAAAAAACAAUUUAGAAAUGGAAAACACCCAACAACAAAACACAUCAUCUUCAUCAUUUGCUUCAGGAGAUUCAGAAAGUUCAGCAGACUCAUCUGCUUCAGCACAAUCCUAUCGUUCUAACUCAGUUUAUUCUUACGGAUCUAUUGAAAAUAAAAGUACUAAAUCAGAAAAAUAUGACUGGAUUAGUAAACAAGAAGUAGAAAAAAGCAAAAACAAAAUGAUCGAAUUACUGGCACUAUUAAAAGGAAAACAUAAUGAGAAACUUGUUGAAAACACUCAGUCAUUUGUUAACUCGUUAAAAAUUAAUAAACCACAAAACAAACAUAACUUACAGGAAAUAUAUAAUAACUUAAAAGCUAUAAAGGAAAGUAUUAAAAAUACUGAUGAUGACACGGAAAAUAACAUUUUAUCAUUGAUUGAAACACAGGCCAACGAAAUUCAAAUAUUUGGAAAUGUAAAUAAAAAAAAUAAAAAAAAACAAAAAAAAAUAAAAAAAAAUAAAAAAAAAUAAAAAAAGAUAAAAAAAGAUAAAAAAAACAAAAAAAAAUAAAAAAAAAAAUAAAAAAAGAUAAAAAAAAAUA